AUUGAACGCUGGCGGCAGGCCUAACACAUGCAAGUCGACCGAGUGGCGGACGUGUGAGUAACGUCUGAGAAACUUACUGAUGGAGGGGGAUAAAUACUGGAAACGGUAGCCAAUAACGCCUACCAUAGGAUCUGCCGCGAUUGGAUUCGCUAGUAGGUGGGGUAAAGGCUCACCUGGGCGACGAUCCCUACCUGGUCUGAUAGGAUGACCAGCCACACUGGAACUGAGACACGGUCCAGCCUCCUACGGGAGGCAGCAGUGGGGAAUAUUGCACAAUGGGCGCAAGCCUGAGGCAGCCAUGCCGCGUGUAUGAAGAAGGCCUUCGGGUGUUAAAGUACUUUCAGCGGGGAGGCGUUACCCGCAGAAGAAGCACCGGCUAACUCCGUGCCAGCAGCCGCGGUAAUAC
rnacentral:rRNA from 1 species